UGAAAAAAUAUGUUUAGUAAUUUUCCAUAUGAAAUCAAAUCGGAAGUUUAUCAUUUCGAUUUAAACAAGGUCCUUUCCAACUGAUUUUUUCUCUUACAGGCAUUGGAUUGAUUCUACAGUGGUAAGGUUGGGAUAAACAAAAGAGUCGCCUGAAUUUGGUGUUACACAUCUUGAGUUCUCCUCAGCUAAAGAUAAUUCCAUCCCCAAAAAGAAAACAGCAAUCAUAAUGCUAAAGGAAGCUAUGUUUUCUCAGUGGGAAGACUGUCUGCAUAUUUCCUUGUUUGUAUACAUCUCCUCAUAUGAGAUCUCAACUACA
rnacentral:lncRNA from 1 species